GGACUAUUUAAAAAAUAAAUGUUCAGGAUGUUUCUUACACUGACUGCACAGAAAGAGAAGGCAAAGUAAACCUAUCCAUAUACACCUCAGCCAGGCCCUAUGCCUGGUCAGUAUUGUGAAUAGAGAGACAUGG
rnacentral:snoRNA from 1 species